AGAAGGACGGCCUGCCGUCAAGUUGGACAGCAGAAUCGUAGAACUCUACAAAGUGUAUGGUAUGACUGUCUCCUUACUCAAUUCCUGUAGAGAGAUAAGCCUCUUCAGACUAUUUUAUACGGAGUGCUGAUUGUUGAAUUUGUCGUACCCAGGGUUGGCCAGCUCUUAAGCAAAUUCGCCAUAGUGACCGCCGAUGGCCUACAAGUCCAUCUCUUUCUCAAGCUCGAUUGCCUCUUAUUUUGCAGACUGAAAGGUGAGAUGAGGGGUUGUCAACAACAUCUAUGGAAUACUGGUUUGUGCCAUACUACCCUAUUCUAAAUGGCCAUGUACAUCCUUGUAUCUUUGUCUGUGCCUUCAGUCAAAACAAACAAACAAUCUAAUGACCAAAAUAUACAAACAAUCUAUGCAAUACAGGUAUGUGCCCUGUUCUAAACGUACAAUGUCAACAAAACCAUAGGACUUGUCCCUCCCAUAGAUGCUUGUAUAAAUGUUACUCUCGCAUUUUUUGUACAUGUCUAUCUAAAUUUGUCUUCUGUUAAAAGGACUCACCAGGUACCUUAAGAUCUCUAUAUUAUGGUCACACCAUAUCAAACGUUUCAGAUUGCAAUGCAUCUACUUCUUGACUGCAUCUACCAUAUUAUACUGAAAUAACUAUAAGAUGAAUUAUACCUGCUGUGAUUUUUAUUUUAUUUUUGUGAAAUAUUCUCUUCAGAUUGCCGCGCGCCACCCGCCCUUCGCAUGUGUAAUCACUUAAAGUAAACUGUCUUUUAAAUUGAAUUCAUUAUUCCAAGACAUCCUGAAUAUAAUUGAGCAGAACACAAAACCAAACUCCGAGCAAGAGAUUUCAGUAGAACUACGAGCCUAAGUAGAAAUUGUGGAGGAAACUAGGUAAAAAAAAUGUUGCACAUUGAUAUGUUUUUUUUGGGUAAAUAGGCCUAUGGUAGCAUCAUUUAUAGGUAAUUAUAAACAAAAGGGCAAAAUAAGCUUUGUUGUUAUAUGCUGUUGAGUUUUUAAUGGCUAUUAAACACAACAUCAUGCUUGUGUGUCUUCUUAUAAACACACGCCUUUGUUGUUUCUCGCCGUUUUUCUUUAAAUUACGUAUAUAUGUACAUGGAAUGCUUCUCCCUGUCAAUAACUAGAUCCCCCCCCCCCCUUGUUUGACAGGUUAAUUAAUCCUACAUUUCAGUAUCAACCAACAUCUGUUGCUUCUUGAGCUCUCAACCCUGGGGUACACCUCCAGGUCAAGGCGCACCUCUUGUCUCAUCGAUGAUGCAGCCUGGGCAUCACUCGCUCUCAGCUAGCUAG
rnacentral:lncRNA from 1 species